GUAGUCUCGCACAGAUGCAUAUCAAUAAGCGGAGGAAAAGAAACUAACAAGGAUUCCCCUUAGUAACGGCGAGUGAAGCGGGAAGAGCUCAAAUUUGAAAUCUUCAAGGGUUUACCUUUACGAAUUGUAGUUUAAAGAAGUGUUUUCUGUUGAGGUUUUGGUAAAAGUUCUUUGGAAUAGGACAUCAUAGAGGGUGAGAAUCCCGUAUUUGACCAUUACUUUCAACUUUGUGAUACACUUUCAAAGAGUCGGAUUGUUUGGGAAUGCAGUCCAAAAUGGGUGGUAAAUUUCAUCUAAAGCUAAAUAUUGGCGAGAGACCGAUAGCGAACAAGUACCGUGAGGGAAAGAUGAAAAGAACUUUGAAAAGAGAGUUAAACAGUACGUGAAAUUGUCAAAAGGGAAGCGUUUGACACCAGUGUUGUUUUUCUCGAAAAUCAAUUAAAAAGAGUUAGAUUUUGUUGUGUAUUGACCUUAACAGCUUGCAUUUCAAUUUUCUUGCUUUUUUUAAUGCACUUUUCGUUUAACAAGUCAACAUCAGUUUCUUUUGUUGUAAAAAGGUCAUUGGAAGGUGGCUUUCUUUUCGGAGAAAGUGUUUAUAGCCUUUGACUCCUGCAAUCGGAGAGACUGAGGUCUGCAGCGUAGAUCCUUCGGGGUUAGAUACAUUUGUGCUAAGUUAUAGCUUUUUAUAGACAACUUGUUGACUAUGAUUAGUCUUGUAGCUUACUCGCUUAUGCUAUUUUACCUACGCUUAGGAUGUUGAGCGCAUGUCUCUCUCU
rnacentral:rRNA from 1 species